UACAGAGGAGGCAAGCGUUGUUCGGAAUUACUGGGCGUAAAGGGCGAGUAGGUGGCCAUCUAAGUCAGACGUGAAAUCCCCCGGCUUAACCUGGGAACUGCGUCUGAUACUGGACGGCUAGAGUAUGGGAGAGGGAUGUAGAAUUCCAGGUGUAGCGGUGAAAUGCGUAGAUAUCUGGAGGAAUACCGGUGGCGAAGGCGGCAUCCUGGACCAUUACUGACGCUGAGGCGCGAAAGCUAGGGGAGCAAACGGG
rnacentral:rRNA from 1 species